GCGCAACCUUUCAAACACAACCAACCUGUCAGACUCAGUUACUCACCUUCCCUGGACAACCAUCUUCAUCACCAAACAUGUUCGUCCAGAUCCUGUUAUAGAACCCUGAAGUUCUCUACCUUGUAUUUCUCAAUAAAUCACAUAAAAACUG